UACGUAGGGUGCAAGCGUUGUCCGGAAUUAUUGGGCGUAAAGAGCUCGUAGGCGGUCUGUCACGUCGGCUGUGAAAACCCGAGGCUCAACCUCGGGCCUGCAGUCGAUACGGGCAAACUAGAGUACUGCAGGGGAGACUGGAAUUCCUGGUGUAGCGGUGAAAUGCGCAGAUAUCAGGAGGAACACCGGUGGCGAAGGCGGGUCUCUGGGCAGUAACUGACGCUGAGGUGCGAAAGCGUGGGGAGCAAACAGG
rnacentral:rRNA from 1 species